UUGAACGCUGGCGGCAUGCUUUACACAUGCAAGUCGAACGGUAACAGGCCGCAAGGUGCUGACGAGUGGCGAACGGGUGAGUAAUGCAUCGGAACGUGCCCAGUCGUGGGGGAUAACUACUCGAAAGAGUAGCUAAUACCGCAUACGAUCUAUGGAUGAAAGCGGGGGACCGUAAGGCCUCGCGCGAUUGAAGCGGCCGAUGUCAGAUUAGGUAGUUGGUGGGGUAAAGGCUCACCAAGCCAACGAUCUGUAGCUGGUCUGAGAGGACGACCAGCCACACUGGGACUGAGACACGGCCCAGACUCCUACGGGAGGCAGCAGUGGGGAAUUUUGGACAAUGGGCGCAAGCCUGAUCCAGCAAUGCCGCGUGCAGGAAGAAGGCCUUCGGGUUGUAAACUGCUUUUGUACGGAACGAAACGGCUCUGGUUAAUACCCGGGGCUAAUGACGGUACCGUAAGAAUAAGCACCGGCUAACUACGUG
rnacentral:rRNA from 1 species